rnacentral:rRNA from 1 species
UACGGAGGAUUCAAGCGUUAUCCGGAUUUAUUGGGUUUAAAGGGUGCGUAGACGGCUGUGCAAGCCAGAUGUGAAAGCCCGGGGCUCAACCCCGGGACUGCAUUUGGAACUGUAUAGCUAGAGUGUCGGAGAGGCAGGCGGAAUUCCUAGUGUAGCGGUGAAAUGCGUAGAUAUUAGGAGGAACACCAGUGGCGAAGGCGGCCUGCUGGACGAUGACUGACGUUGAGGCUCGAAAGCGUGGGGAGCAAACAGG